rnacentral:rRNA from 1 species
AUUGAACGCUAGCGGGAUGCCUUACACAUGCAAGUCGAACGGCAGCGCGGACUUCGGUCUGGCGGCGAGUGGCGAACGGGUGAGUAAUGUAUCGGAACGUGCCCAGUAGCGGGGGACAACCACUCGAAAGAGUGGCUAAUACCGCAUACGCCCUACGGGGAAAGGGGGGAGUCGCAAGACCUCUCACUAUUGGAGCGGCCGAUAUCGGAUUAGCUAGUUGGUGGGGUAAAGGACCUACCAAGGCGACGAUCCGUAGCUGGUUUGUAGAGGACGACCAGCCACACUGGACGUGAGACACGGCCCA